GAUGAACGCUAGCGGGAGGCUUAACACAUGCGAGUCGAGGGGCAUCACGGGGUAGCAAUACUCUGGUGGCGACCGGCGCACGGGUGAGUAACACGUAUGCAACCUGCCUCGUACAGGGGGAUAACCCGGAGAAAUUCGGACUAAUAUCCCAUAAUGAUAUUGAAAGGCAUCUUUUGAUAUUUAAAGCUCAGGCGGUACGGGAUGGGCAUGCGGAACAUUAGCUAGUUGGCAGGGUAACGGCCUACCAAGGCUGCGAUGUUUAGGGGACCUGAGAGGGUUAUCCCCCACACUGGUACUGAGACACGGACCAGACUCCUACGGGAGGCAGCAGUGAGGAAUAUUGGUCAAUGGGCGCAAGCCUGAACCAGCCAUCCCGCGUGAAGGAAGAAGGCGCUAUGCGUUGUAAACUUCUUUUCCAGGGGGAGAAUUUUUCCGUCGUGACGGGAAUUGACGGUACUCUGGGAAUAAGCAUCGGCUAACUCCGUGCCAGCCGCCGCAGUAAAAC
rnacentral:rRNA from 1 species